GUAGUCAUAUGCUUGUCUCAAAGAUUAAGCCAUGCAUGUCUAAGUAUAAGCAAUUUGUACUGUGAAACUGCGAAUGGCUCAUUAAAUCAGUUAUCGUUUAUUUGAUAGUACCUUACUACAUGGAUACCUGUGGUAAUUCUAGAGCUAAUACAUGCUAAAAACCUCGACUUCGGAAGGGGUGUAUUUAUUAGAUAAAAAACCAACGCCCUUCGGGGCUCCUUGGUGAAUCAUAAUAACUAAGCGAGUCGCAUGGCCUUGCGCCGGCGAUGGUUCAUUCAAAUUUCUGCCCUAUCAACUUUCGAUGGUAAGAUAGUGGCCUACCAUGGUGGCAACGGGUAACGGGGAAU
rnacentral:rRNA from 1 species